UAAAUUGCCAUAGUAACGAGUGACAGACAGGAAGUGGUCUCGAAGACGGUGAGGUGAGGGACGGACAACAACAAAUAGUCAUUCAGACAUGAACUAUAUAACGCCCAGGCUGUAUGAAUUGGCUCCUAAAAGAUCCCUCGGUAAACUAACACAUAGGCUGCCCAAAGACACGCAACUUUUAAAAUAAAUGUCUCCCGUGUCCUGAAGAGGAAGGACGUGCCAGCUCGAUCUGCAGACGGCAGACUUCACGACGAAGGGCACUUUCGAUGAGGCAACCGUGAGUUUCCGACUGGAAAGGAGUAAUAAAUAGGUCCUACGUUGAAGCUCUCUGCUUGCGCUUCCAUUUAACAUUUCGAGGGUUAUGGUGUAGGGGUUACCGACCGACAGACCGACCAACCAUCGCUGACUUCGGAGUCGAGCAAAAGCGACUGAACGGAGGCGACGCGAGUCAAUGCAAUGGAGCCUGAAGUAACGUUAACCGGUCAUGACUGUUGUUGACUAGACCAGCGUUACACACUGGACAACUUUGUUGCAAUUGAAAGGAUGACAUCUUCAUCCCUGAGAAGGUUUUCAUCCUGGAUGAGACUGUUCAGGAGGCAGAGGAGGAAAGAACGGUUAGUACAGCAUGCCAAACUGACCCCUGGGUGCCAGAGUGUUCCUAUGCUGCGGUGGAGAAAAGGUCCACCGGGACCCUCACUAAAGAGGUUCCACCGGGACCCUCACUAAAGAGGUUCCACCGGGACCCUCACUAAAGAGGUUCCACCGGGACCCUCACUAAAGAGGUUCCACCGGGACCCUCACUAAAGAGGUUCCACCGGGACCCUCACUAAAGAGGUUCCACCGGGACCCUCACUAAAGAGGUUCCACCGGGACCCUCACUAAAGAGGGUCCACCGGGACCCAGCUUGAUUGAGCUGACGUCCAUCAGUACAACCGAGUCCUGACCCUGUACGCCGCAGAUGGAACGAGACGGAGAGUGAGAUCAGUGAAGACCAGGACUCGCUGUAUGAACCUGAGAGCUCAGAAUCACAAUCAUCACAGUGCGAGUCAAGAUGUACUAUCGAUCACUUUGGGGGGAGCGGGAUGGUGUUCCCGAAAAUGGACAAGGAGCAGGUCAUUCAACAGCGAGUUCAAAAGAUACACCCCCAUCCAUAAAGGGAAUCGGAGUGGAAUUGUUUUUCCGCAUAUUUUUUUGAUUUUCUUUUUUUAACCCGUUUCAGUGGAUGUGCUACCUUGUCCCGGUUUUACUGUUUCAACUCUCUCGCUCUCUCUCAACGCUCAGCUAUGAAAAGCCAACUGACAUUUGCUCCUGAGGUGUUGUACUGUGGUUAUUAUUUUGAGUAAAAAGGGCUUUUUGUCAAAUACAUUUAAAUCGAUUACUAUGCUGGAUGCUGUGUAUUCGCUACCUGUCUGAGUUAUGGGACAUUUUAUAUAGUAUCUGUAACAUAUUUUGGUGUGUAUUUAAUCUGCAUCUUAACUUCUUAAAGUUGUAAUCAGCAGUAGAAACAAUAACAAAGUAUCUCCCUGCUCCUCUUUGGGUAAAAAGCUGAGGGGUGGGGCUGGAGAAAUGUAACCACUCUCAAAGCUAUAGAUGCAUGGACUGACCAUCGAUGGCAUAAAAACUGUAAUUCUGUUUCUGUGAUCUGUUUCCACUACCAUGUAGCCAGUUCGCUCUGGAUAAAGACGUCUGCUAAAUAGCAUAUAUUAUUAAAGUCUCCUUUGACUCUGCAAACUAGCUGGCCAGUGUAGUUACCAUUUCCUUUCCAAUAGAUGGCAGCCCUAGCUAGAUGCAGUCGCUACCCUAGCAACAGGGACACAGGAUUAGUGCUUGUUGAAAGUAGUUUUAUCUGGUUAUGCUUGAACCUGUUGUUAUAGUGGACAAGCUAACUAGUACUAUUUUUACAUAAGUCGCAGGCAUUGGGUCUAUGUCUUGAAAACAAAUGACCUUGUUGUCAUGUUGCUACUAUGCUGUGUUGUCGUCUUUAUGUAGUGUUGUUGUCUCGUGUUUUCUGUCAUAGAUAGAUAUAUAUCUAUCUAUAAUCCCAGCUCCUAUAGGAGGCCUUUUGGUAGGCCGUCAUUGUAAAUAAGAUUUUGUUCUUAACUGACUUGCCCAGUUAAAGGUAAAAAUAAAAUAAAUACGAAAUUAA